rnacentral:rRNA from 1 species
UUUAUGGAGAGUUUGAUCCUGGCUCAGGAUGAACGCUGGCGGCGUGCCUAAUACAUGCAAGUCGAGCGAACGGACGAGAAGCUUGCUUCUCUGAUGUUAGCGGCGGACGGGUGAGUAACACGUGGAUAACCUACCUAUAAGACUGGGAUAACUUCGGGAAACCGGAGCUAAUACCGGAUAAUAUUUUGAACCGCAUGGUUUAAAAGUGAAAGACGGUCUUGCUGUCACUUAUAGAUGGAUCCGCGCUGCAUUAGCUAGUUGGUAAGGUAACGGCUUACCAAGGCAACGAUGCAUAGCCGACCUGAGAGGGUGAUCGGCCACACUGGAACUGAGACACGGUCCAGACUCCUACGGGAGGCAGCAGUAGGGAAUCUUCCGCAAUGGGCGAAAGCCUGACGGAGCAACGCCGCGUGAGUGAUGAAGGUCUUCGGAUCGUAAAACUCUGUUAUUAGGGAAGAACAUAUGUGUAAGUAACUGUGCACAUCUUGACGGUACCUAAUCAGAAAGCCACGGCUAACUACGUGCCAGCAGCCGCGGUAAUACGUAGGUGGCAAGCGUUAUCCGGAAUUAUUGGGCGUAAAGCGCGCGUAGGCGGUUUUUUAAGUCUGAUGUGAAAGCCCACGGCUCAACCGUGGAGGGUCAUUGGAAACUGGAAAACUUGAGUGCAGAAGAGGAAAGUGGAAUUCCAUGUGUAGCGGUGAAAUGCGCAGAGAUAUGGAGGAACACCAGUGGCGAAGGCGACUUUCUGGUCUGUAACUGACGCUGAUGUGCGAAAGCGUGGGGAUCAAACAGGAUUAGAUACCCUGGUAGUCCACGCCGUAAACGAUGAGUGCUAAGUGUUAGGGGGUUUCCGCCCCUUAGUGCUGCAGCUAACGCAUUAAGCACUCCGCCUGGGGAGUACGACCGCAAGGUUGAAACUCAAAGGAAUUGACGGGGACCCGCACAAGCGGUGGAGCAUGUGGUUUAAUUCGAAGCAACGCGAAGAACCUUACCAAAUCUUGACAUCCUUUGACAACUCUAGAGAUAGAGCCUUCCCCUUCGGGGGACAAAGUGACAGGUGGUGCAUGGUUGUCGUCAGCUCGUGUCGUGAGAUGUUGGGUUAAGUCCCGCAACGAGCGCAACCCUUAAGCUUAGUUGCCAUCAUUAAGUUGGGCACUCUAAGUUGACUGCCGGUGACAAACCGGAGGAAGGUGGGGAUGACGUCAAAUCAUCAUGCCCCUUAUGAUUUGGGCUACACACGUGCUACAAUGGACAAUACAAAGGGCAGCGAAACCGCGAGGUCAAGCAAAUCCCAUAAAGUUGUUCUCAGUUCGGAUUGUAGUCUGCAACUCGACUACAUGAAGCUGGAAUCGCUAGUAAUCGUAGAUCAGCAUGCUACGGUGAAUACGUUCCCGGGUCUUGUACACACCGCCCGUCACACCACGAGAGUUUGUAACACCCGAAGCCGGUGGAGUAACCUUUUAGGAGCUAGCCGUCGAAGGUGGGACAAAUGAUUGGGGUGAAGUCGUAACAAGGUAGCCGUAUCGGAAGGUGCGGCUGGAUCACCUCCUUUCU